rnacentral:rRNA from 1 species
GACAGAGGAUGCAAGCGUUAUCCGGAUUCAUUGGGUUUAAAGGGAGCGUAGGCGGCCCUAUAAGUCAGUGGUGAAAUCUUUGGGCUUAACCCAAAAAUUGCCAUUGAAACUGUAGGGCUUGGGUACAGUUGCUGUGGGCGGAAUAUGACAUGUAGUGGUGAAAUACAUAGAGAUGUCAUAGAACACCGAUUGCGAAGGCAGCUCACAAAACUGUAACUGACGCUGAGGCUCGAAAGUGCGGGGAUCAAACAGG